rnacentral:tRNA from 1 species
GAGAGGUGGCCGAGUGGUCGAAGGCGCGGCACUGGAAAUGCCGUGUACCACACCUUGGUACCGUGGGUUCAAAUCCCACCCUCUCC